rnacentral:rRNA from 1 species
GAUGAACGCUGGCGGCGUGCUUAACACAUGCAAGUCGAACGGAAAGGCCCAAGCUUGCUUGGGUACUCGAGUGGCGAACGGGUGAGUAACACGUGGGUGAUCUGCCCUGCACUUCGGGAUAAGCCUGGGAAACUGGGUCUAAUACCGGAUAGGACCACUUCUUGGAUGUUGUGGUGGAAAGUUUUUUCGGUGUGGGAUGAGCUCGCGGCCUAUCAGCUUGUUGGUGGGGUAAUGGCCUACCAAGGCGUCGACGGGUAGCCGGCCUGAGAGGGUGUACGGCCACAUUGGGACUGAGAUACGGCCCAGACUCCUACGGGAGGCAGCAGUGGGGAAUAUUGCACAAUGGGCGCAAGCCUGAUGCAGCGACGCCGCGUGGGGGAGGACGGACUUCGGGUUGUAAACUCCUUUCGCUAGGGACGAAGCGUUUUGUGACGGUACCUGGAGAAGAAGCACCGGCUAACUACGUG